GGGGCUGACAAAGCUUAGACGGAUUAUUAACAGAUAUCAGGCAUGACGAUUGAUACCGUAAGUAUUGAAUAAGUGAAGAAACAACUUCAAAGCACGUGCUUUACGCACCUGUUUACGCCUAAUUUUUUAUAGGCCGGUUUAGAUAUAGUUUCUCGGAAGAUCUAAAUUGUUAUAAAAGAGAGAAUAGGGGCAACUAAGUGAUGCAGGUUGCCUAGAAAAAUAAAUCAUGGGUUCUAGAAGUUUUGUUCUAUUGCAGCUUCUAGAAAUAACCGAGAUGAAACAAAGAACUAUGCAUGUAGAAUGAUAUCAUGGAGAUUUUUCGGACCCGGAGGCAGUAUCCGGCAGCUCCACCA
rnacentral:tmRNA from 1 species